rnacentral:lncRNA from 1 species
GUGUAACUCGUAAAAGUGCAUUCAACAAGUUUCUAUCCAACCACAGAUCAAAAACGGAAAGUAAGAUACAUAUGAGGCUCAACAGCCUUCGAAAAGGAGAAAAACGAAUAGGUAUCAUACAUUGAGUUCACCCAAAUAACUUGGGCAACAAGCUAUCCAAGAGAUGAAUAAAACCAAGAAACGACUUAGGAUGCAACUAAAUCCGGUGUUUCAGCUUCAACCGAUACCAAAGCAGUGUGUACUUUCCCGACCCAGUUGUCCAAACGAUCACGCAAAGACUUUACUUGACUUAUUCCCAAAACUCUUGGUUGCACCCAAGACACAUGAACUGUUCCUUCAACUUGAUCAAUUAUCCCCUCAAUAAGAUGCACCUAUAAACUCUUCAUGAGAAGAUAUUCAACGUCUUCAACUGUAAGUUUUGUCCGGUCUGCUAUGAUGCUUAAGGGAAUGGUU